rnacentral:rRNA from 1 species
GACGAACGCUGGCGGCGUGCUUAACACAUGCAAGUCGAACGGAAAGGCCCUGCUUUUGUGGGGUGCUCGAGUGGCGAACGGGUGAGUAACACGUGAGUAACCUGCCCUUGACUUUGGGAUAACUUCAGGAAACUGGGGCUAAUACCGGAUAGGAGCUCCUGCUGCAUGGUGGGGGUUGGAAAGUUUCGGCGGUUGGGGAUGGACUCGCGGCUUAUCAGCUUGUUGGUGGGGUAGUGGCUUACCAAGGCUUUGGCGGGUAGCCGGCCUGAGAGGGUGACCGGCCACAUGGGGACUGAGAUACGGCCCAGACUCCUACGGGAGGCAGCAGUGGGGAAUAUGGCACAAUGGGCGGAAGCCUGAUGCAGCAACGCCGCGUGCGGGAUGACGGCCUUCGGGUUGUAAACCGCUUUCGCCUGUGACGAAGCGUGAGUGACGGUAAUGGGUAAAGAAGCACCGGCUAACUACGUG